UUGAAUAAAUCUAAAGUUUUAGAAUUUAAUUUCGACUUAAAUAUAUAGUUAAAGUAACUUAUUCAAG
rnacentral:tRNA from 1 species